rnacentral:rRNA from 1 species
GUCUAUGGUCAUGCUACCUUGAACACUCCUGAUCCCAACUGAUCUCGGAAGCUAAGCAGGGUCAGGCCUGGUUAGUACUUGGAUGGGAGACCACCUAGGAAGACCAGGUGCUGUAGGCG